CAAAUCUUUUACUUUAUCCCCAAAUCUAACUAUUGAUCCUACAAGCAAAUCCUUUUCUUUACCAAGACAUUCUCUACAGCUAUGUUGUGACAUUUAACCUACAUGCAGCCAAGUUUCAGCCAUUGUUUUCAGAUUUAUUCAUCAAUCAUAUUUAAUCACUGAAACCUUCAUUUUAACCUCACCACACAGACCACUACUGCCCCAGCUUUCAGGUAAUGUUUUCUGCAGUCUCUUUCUUGUAUUCUCAUCUUCUUCACUUCUUUAACAUAGACUCACAUAGUACAACUCUUAAGACAUACUUUUCCUUGACUUAUUCACAAUGAGAACUCACAGACCAAUUCAUCUUUAAACCAAAGAAUGAGAGAAGAAAGAUCGGUUUCAAACAAAAACAAACGACAACUUUCAUAUCUUUACAUCUGAUAAUUCCUUUUGUUCUCCGGUGAGUGCGAGUGGCGAGGUGAGAGAGAGGGAGCUGGGGCCUGUCGAAGCCUCGCCCUGGCUGACGGAGCCGCGGCUACCAGCGCUGCAUGUGGCAGCAGCCCGCCGGCCGCUAGCAGCUAGGGCGGACGAAGGAGGUGGUGGUGAGGACGGUGGCGCGGCGGUCCUUCGGGGUGCCGCUGCUCGACCGGCUGAGAGGAAGCAAGAAGAGAAGGCAGCAGUGCUGCUGUGGUCGCCGCGGCGGCGCUGUUGUCGCCGGCGUAGGCUGCCCACCGCGAGCAGGAGGAGAAGAGGGGGGGGGGGGAGUAGAUUUACAGAUUUAGGGAUUUCAGAUUUUGGGGCUUUGAGGGAUGAAGAAGGAGUGGGAGAGGUAUGGGUGUGAAGGAGAGAUUAAAGAGGAGGAAAUGGAGGCACAGCGGCGACGCCACUAUCGACGUCGGCGAAGAAGGGGCGGCGGCGGCUGCAGAUUCAGAGGGAGAAGAGAGAAAUCGAAAUAGAGAGAAGGGGGAGAGAGAGAGACGUUAGAUAGGGUGAGAGAGCCGAUAGGAUGAGCGAGGAGAGAGAGACUUAAUUGUUUUUUAAUCUCACAUUUUUUUUUCAAUUUCUUUAGCGUUUUCAUUUGUUUUAUUUUGAUAUAUUGGGAUCCUUUUGUAUUUGGGGCCUUUAUAAAUUUGAUGGGCCGAUUUUUCUUCAAAAUCAAUGGGCUCAUUUUUAUUA